CCAGAGAACGCAAAGUGAGGCAAGCCCUCUUGCCACUACUCGGAUUUUUAUUUAGAUCAGGUAUGCCAACGGAGGAAUGAUAUCUUACUGCAAGCUGCUAUCAUGGUGCUGAUGAUCUCAGUUAAGAGAUUUUAUGAGCAUGGAGGUGAGAUGCAAGUCGCACAAGAUGCUCCUUUAAAGCCAUCUAUGGAUAUCUUUGCUGUAGGGUAUGCCAACGGAGGAAUGAUAUCUUACUGCAAGCUGCUAUUAUG